GUGUAAGUGGCUACUCAAAUGUGUUUAAUAAUUAAUAAAAGCUUGGAAAAUAAAAGAAGAAAACAUCCACUUCAUCCGGGACUCCUGUCUACAGCCGCUGUCAGCAAUGCUGAUGGAUCUCAACUUCUUUUGCUUCUCAAGUGGUCCAUUUGGACUUGGACUUUGCUCCUAGAAAAGUUUUUCAGGAUAUUCUAAAGUCAUCCUGCUAAACACCAAUUCUGCCAGAUGCUAACAGAUCCAGAGGAGACUGCCAUUAAACUACAUAUUUUUAUUUAUGGAAUCAUGCAUGUUAUCAGAGCCCAAAGGAAAAAUCCAAAACCCUCUGAGUGGAUGAUGAGACACAUUCUCUGAGGAUGUUUUCCCUUCUCACCCCAGGAAUCAGUGGUUCUCCACCAUCAUGGAUGUAGAACCUUCUAUCUCCCACUGACAAAGCAGAGGGACCUCAGGCUGAGAUAUCAUGCCUCCUGAAGAACAAAUACUUUCUGAGUAAGAGUAGAAUUGAUGAGUGCUCUGACCUCUGUUCUGAGAUCCCUGGAAAUCAGAUAGGUAAUAAACCAGCAAUGCUGACUACUAGAAAUAGCAAAAAUAUUCACCCAAGUCCACG
rnacentral:lncRNA from 1 species